GUUUAUGAUGAAUUCCACAAUUUCACGACGGUCAACUGUAUUUCCUUACUUGUUUAUUAGGAAAUGUUGAUGAUAUUAUGCCUGUGACAGGGCGUGGCACUGAUA
rnacentral:snoRNA from 1 species